GCGUACAUAGUGUACUUGGUUUGCACAGGGCUUUGUGACAGCCCUAGAACAAGUUCGAAUCUUGUUGCACGCC
rnacentral:tRNA from 1 species